UACAUGGGGUGCAAACGUUGCUCGGAAUUAUUGGGCGUAAAGCGCACGUAGGCGGUUCGUUAAGUCGGAUGUGAAAGCCCUCGGCUCAACUGAGGAAGUGCACCCGAAACUGGCGAGCUUGAGUACGAAAGAGGAUCGCGGAAUUCCCGGUGUAGAGGUGAAAUUCGUAGAUAUCGGGAGGAACACCGGGUGGCGAAGGCGGCGAUCUGGGUCGAUACUGACGCUGAGGCGCGAAAGCAUGGGGAGACGAACAGG
rnacentral:rRNA from 1 species